CCUUGAACCUGACGUAAGAGGUCACAUGACCAGUUAAUGUCAAAUAAAGAUGGUGCGGUAUGAGUAGACACAGAAGAACACGGAAAUCUUUUUACAAA